UGAUUGACAGGAACCUUGAAGAAUGGUAUGG
rnacentral:piRNA from 1 species